rnacentral:rRNA from 1 species
ACGUACGCUGGCGGCACGCCUAACACAUGCAAGUAGAACGAAGUAGCAAUACUUAGUGGCAGACGGGUGAGUAACAUGUGGGUAUCUACCCUUUGUCCUGGAAUAACACGAGGAAACUUGUGAUAAUACCGGAUAAGUCCUUACGGAGAAAGCUUUAUGCACCAUUGGAUGAGCCCGCACUUGAUUAGUUAGUUGGUAGGGUAAUGGCCUACCAAGUCUAUGAUCAAUAGCUGAUUUGAGAGGAUGAUCAGCCACAUUGGGACUGAGACACGGCCCAAACUCCUACGGGAGGCAGCAGUGGGGAAUCUUGCACAAUGGAGGAAACUCUGAUGCAGCGAUGCCGCGUGAGUGAAGAAGGCCUUUGGGUUGUAAAGCUCUUUCGUCGGGGAAGAAAAUGACUGUACCCGAAUAAGAAGGUCCGGCUAACUUCGUGCCAGCAGCCGCGGUAAUACGAAGGGACCUAGCGUAGUUCGGAAUUACUGGGCUUAAAGAGUUCGUAGGUGGUUGAAAAAGUUAGGGGUGAAAUCCCAGAGCUCAACUCUGGAACUGCCAUUAAAACUUUUCAUCUAGAGUAUGAUAGAGGAAAGCGGAAUUUCUAGUGUAGAGGUGAAAUUCGUAGAUAUUAGAAGGAACACCAAUGGCGAAGGCAGCUCUCUGGAUCAUUACUGA